UGCUGGACCGUUUGGCGUGCAUGGGGCUGAUCUCUCGGUUUUAAUUACAGGGGAUAAAGGUUCGGCGGCCGGCGGCGUUCAAUGGCGCCUCUGCUGCUGCUGGGCUUGGCGUGAGCGGAGGGGAGAGACGGGGAGAGAGAGGGGAGAGGGAGACCGGCUUGUUGUCUCUGCUGAUCAGCUUUGCGUUAUUCUUGUUUUACAGACCAGCGGCGCUGGCGGGUCUGCUGGACUCGGCUGCUCGGACGGACAAGUCUACAGGGACAGCCCGUGCUGCUGCUGCGGUUGAGGCGGCCGCAAACGAGCUGGAGGUCAAGGUUGUCCUUCCUGUGGUGACUACGGGAAGCCAGCUGGUGGUGCAGUGCACAACAGCGAGCAGAUCGGCGAGCCACCAGAGAAGGGGUUUUCGGGACUUUCCCCGACCGCGUGGACUCAACAAACCACACCGCGGAGGAUCACCAUACCCCUCCAAUGGACAACGACCGCCGCGCCGACCACAGCACCCGCACACCGGCUAAAGGAGGACCACACCAGCCCAGUGGACGUCGGCGCCGCACAGGGUCGUCUCUCGCCUCCUUGUCAUUCUCGUGUCCGGUUGUGCAUUCAACUUACUGGACGGAGAACUGAUAAGGGCGCGUGUGAUCCCUUCCUCCCUUCAUCUCUCUCUCUCUCUCUCUCUCCGGACGGGCUGCGGCCGCGCCCGCACCCCCUGCCGCAGCCACCCCCGCGAGCGUGUUUCGAGGGAUCAAACGGCCCAGCACUCGGCUAUUCACGUGGGGAGCCUCUCCUGACUCGCCCCGCGCGCCACACAGCAGCGCCAGUCCUCGCGGCUCGAGGGACACAUUCAUGGUGGUGGCGGGGUGAGUGGAAUCGAGCUGAGGGGUGCGUUUCUCCGCCCCCCCCCCCCUCUCUCUCUCUCUCUCAUUGCGUCGCUCUCUCUCACUCGGUCUCUCGGCAAUAUAUAUAGAGUCACAUCCUGGAGAGUGCAUCGCAUAUCAUGUCCUGUUGAUUCAAUUUCAAUUUCAUGUAUGUUAUGUAAUGAAUGAAACCUGAAAUAAAUCUUGCAUGUUGCCAUCUA